rnacentral:pre_miRNA from 1 species
AAAAAGACAAACCCUAGGUUUCCAUGUCCAACUUUAACUAUCCUUCUUAUAUGAAAUUUUUUUAUAAUUCAUAUUUUUAUUGGUGUGACUUGUCUUUUUAAUUUUUUUAUAAUUUUUUUAAAUAAGACGGACGGUCAAACAUUAGACACGGAAAUUAGGGUUUGUCUUUUC